UCUCUCUUGGCUCAGUUGGCUAGAGUGUUCGCUUCACAAUUACGUAAUUUGACGCGAAAGGUCCUGGGUUCGACCCCCAGAGAGGGAA